GUACGUCUCAGUUCGGAUUGGAGUCUGCAACUCGACUCCAUGAAGCUGGAUUCGCUAGUAAUCGCGCAUCAGCCAUGGCGCGGUGAAUACGUUCCCGGGCCUUGUACACACCGCCCGUCAAGCCAUGGAAGCCGGGGGUGCCUGAAGUGCGUGACCGCAAGGAGCGCCCUAAGGUAAAACCGGUGACUGGGGCUAAGUCGUAACAAGGUAGC
rnacentral:rRNA from 1 species